UCGCGAAAACUUCACAAUGGGGGAAACCCCGAUGAGGGAAUUCCAAGUGCCCGCACAUUGUGUUGGCUGUUCUCUGGUCUAAAAAACCGGAGAAGUAAGGGCCGGGUAAGACGGGUGCCAGCCGCCGCGCUAAUACCCGCGGCCCGAGUGGUGGUCGAUAUUAUUGAGCCUAAAACGUCCGUAGCCGGUCUUGUAAAUCCUUGGGUAAAUCGACCAGCUUAACUGUUCGAAGUCCGGGGAGACUGCAAGACUUGGGAUCGGGAGAGGUGAGAGGUACUUCUGGGGUAGGGGUAAAAUCCUGUAAGCCUAGAAGGACCACCGGUGGCGAAGGCGUCUCACUAGAACGAAUCCGACGGUGAGGGACGAAGCCCUGGGGCGCAAACG
rnacentral:rRNA from 1 species